rnacentral:rRNA from 1 species
UCGAGGAUCUUCCUCAAUGGGGGAAACCCUGAAGGAGCGACGCCGCGUGGGGGAUGAAGGUCUUCGGAUUGUAAACCCCUGUCACUUGGGAACAAUGCCCGGCGUUGAAUAGCCGCCGGGUUGAUAGUACCAGGAGAGGAAGCCGUGGCUAACUCUGUGCCAGCAGCCGCGGUAAUACAGAGACGGCAAGCGUUGCUCGGAAUCAUUGGGCGUAAAGGGUCCGCAGGCGGUCGGGCAAGUCGGAUGUGAAAUCCCGCGGCUUAACCGCGGAAAGUCAUUCGAAACUGCCCGGCUAGAGGACUGGAGAGGAGACUGGAAUUGUCGGUGUAGCGGUGAAAUGCGUAGAUAUCGACAAGAAGACCGGUGGCGAAGGCGGGUCUCUGGACAGUUCCUGACGCUCAGGGACGAAAGCUAGGGGAGCAAACGGGAUUAGAUACCCCGGUAGUCCUAGCCCUAAACGGUGCUCACUUGGUGUGCGGGGAGUCGACCCCUGCGUGCCG